CGGGCUGUGGCUCAGCUUGGUAGAGCGUUCGCCUCGGGUGCGAAAGGUCGCAGGUUCGAAUCCUGUCAGCCCGA
rnacentral:tRNA from 3 species